CCCGCUGAACUUAAGCAUAUCAAUAAGCGGAGGAAAAGAAACUAACAAGGAUUCCCCUAGUAACUGCGAGUGAAGCGGGAAAAGCUCAAAUUUAAAAUCUGGCGGUCUUGCAGCCGUCCGAGUUGUAAUCUGGAGAAGCGUUUAUCCGCGUCGGACCGUGUACAAGUCUUCUGGUAGGGAGCGUCGUAGAGUGUGAGUAUCGCGUCUUUGACACGGACACCGGCUGCUGUUGUGAUGCGCUCUCGAAGAGUCUAGUUGUUUGGUGAUGCAGCUCAUGAUGGGUAGGUAACUCCAUCUAAAGCUAAAUAUUGGCGAGAGACCGAUAGCGAACAAGUACCGUAAGAGAGAGAUGAACAGCACUUUGGAUAGAGAGUGAAACAGUACGUGAAAUUGUUGAAAGGGAAACGUUUGAAGUCAGUCGCGUUGGCCGAGACUCAACCUUGCUUCUGCUCGGUGCACUUCUCGGUUGACGGGUCAGCAUCAAUUUUGACCGCCGGAUAAAGGUCGGGGGAAUGUGGCAUCCUUCGGGAUGUGUUAUAGACCUCGAUUCGGAUACGGCGAUUGGGAUUGAGGAACUCGGCGCUUUGCGUCCAGGAUGCUGGCAUAAUGGCUUUAAGCGACCCGUCUUGAAACACGG
rnacentral:rRNA from 1 species